rnacentral:rRNA from 1 species
UACGGGGGGGGCAAGCGUUGUUCGGAAUUACUGGGCGUAAAGGGCUCGUAGGCGGCCCUCUCAGUCGGAUGUGAAAUCCCCAGGCUUAACCUGGGAACGGCAUCCGAUACUGGAGGGCUUGAAUUCGGGAGAGGGAUGCAGAACUCCAGGUGUAGCGGUGAAGUGCGUAGAUAUCUGGAGGAAUACCGGUGGCGAAGGCGGCAUCCUGGACCGAGAUUGACGCUGAGGAGCGAAAGCUAGGGGAGCAAACGGG